GAUUAUAUCUUAGCGCGAGCUCUUGCGUAUGCAAGAGGACGAGGAAGAGGUUGUCGAAGGGUGGAGCAUACGCUCCCGGUUCAGCGGAUGCCUCUCGGCCGGGUCCGGUCGAAAAAGCUGUAAAAUCCGAACGGUGACGGGCGGGACAAAGCAGUGUAUAAGGACCGAU
rnacentral:ncRNA from 2 species